GUGGGAUUUGUGUGUCCUUGGGUGGCUGGUGGUGUAGCUGUGUCAUAGUGAAGUCAAGCAUAGCAAAUCACAACAUGUUUCAUCCAAUCUGUCUCUGCUUCUGCUGAAGAACAGUUACUGAUUUGAUGAGAAGCCAGCACUUUUAAGAACAUCAGAAGAAAAAUUCCUGCCCUUGUUUUCCACGUGGCUCUGCUUGAGAACACAACAUGGGGCAUUGUCACAAGCAAGGAACAGCUUGCAGCUCAGUCUGGGUGCCAGAGCAAUAGCUCUUCUUCAUGGGCAUAAGUGGUCGAGGAAAAGAUGAUUCUGUGCUGCUUUGUAUUCCCAGGAACUGAUCUGUAAGAGAGAACUGAGCCCCCUGUGUGUGUAAAAGCCCCAUUUCACUGACAAAUCCAAUGAAAACUGACCAAGGCAUGAUUCAGACUUCUCAUUUUUAUGCCUUAGAGGAUGCUGAUGGGAAGCCAGUGGUGGAAGUGAGAAGUAAACAGUGCAUAACUCACUGUUGUGCCCACUGUGGUGUCCAGCAGGAGUUCCCUGCCCUCUGUCUGCCAGGA